rnacentral:rRNA from 1 species
AUUGAACGCUGGCGGCAUGCCUUACACAUGCAAGUCGAACGGCAGCACGGGGCAACCUGGUGGCGAGUGGCGAACGGGUGAGUAAUGCAUCGGAACGUGCCAUUGAGUGGGGGAUAACGUAGCGAAAGUUGCGCUAAUACCGCAUAUUCUGUGCGCAGGAAAGCAGGGGACCGCAAGGCCUUGCGCUCUUUGAGCGGCCGAUGUCAGAUUAGCUAGUUGGUGAGGUAACGGCUUACCAAGGCGACGAUCUGUAGCGGGUCUGAGAGGAUGAUCCGCCACACUGGAACUGAGACACGGUCCAGACUCCUACGGGAGGCAGCAGUGGGGAAUUUUGGACAAUGGGCGCAAGCCUGAUCCAGCCAUGCCGCGUGAGUGAAGAAGGCC